GUUAAAGUCCCCCUCCUUGGAGAACAUGGACAGCUCGGUGCUCCCGUACGGAGAGCAGCUGGGCUCGUCCGCUCUGCUGGUGAACAAGCGAGACCUACGUGAGUCUCUCACCAGUGGUGUUGCUGAUCUCUCCGGCUCCACAGGGGAUGCAGAAGAAGCAGCAGGCCGGCUUGCCUCGUAUCACCGCCUGGCGAAACCCUGGGAGGCAGCUCUCGCUGCACACCGACUGCGGACGCUGAAACACAGCGCAGCGCUAACUGCUCCCAUCAACUGCCACUGAGGCUGUUUGGCAUGCCACAUGAUGUCCUCGGUCCUGAGGACAAAGUUCUGUCCAGCAGGCAGCGAGGCGUCGUAGUAACCCACGGGUCUGAAGAUGAUUC